ensembl:lncRNA
GGUUGUAGUUGUGGUUGAGGGGGUAGUUGUGGUUGUGGUUGAGGUUUAGGGUUAGGGUUGUGGUUGUAGUUGUGGUUGAGGGUUAGGGUUAGGGUUAGGUUGUGGUUGUGGUUUAGGGUUAGGGUUAGGGUUGUGGUUGUAGUUGUGGUUGAGGGUUAGGGUUAGGGUUAGGGUUAGGGUUAGGGUUAGGGUUGUGGUUAUAGUUGUAGUUUAGUUGUGGUUGAGGUUGAGGGUUAGGGUUAGGGUUAGGGUUGAGGCUAGGGUUAGUGAUGUGGUUGAGGCUAGGGUUAGGGUUAGGGUUGAGGCUAGGGUCAGGAUUAGGGUUGAGGGUUAGGGUUAGGGUUGAGGCUAGAGUUAGGUUUAGGGUUGAGGCUAGGGUUAGUGAUGUGGUUGAGGCUAGGGUUAGGAUUAGGGUUAGGGUUAGGGUUAGGGUUAGGGUUGAGGCUAGGGUUAGGGUUAGGGUUGAGGCUAGGGUUAGAGUUAGGGUUGCGGCUAGGGUUAGUGAUGUGGUUGAGGCUAGGGUUAGGGUUGGGGAUAGGGUUAGGGUUAGGGUUGAGGCUAGGGUUAGGGUUGAGGCUAGGGUUAGUGAUGUGGUUGAGGCUAGGGUUAGGGUUAGGGUUAGGGUUGAGGCUAGGGCUAGGGCUAGGGUUAGGGUUGGGGUUAGGGUUAGGGUUGAGGCUAGGGUUAGGGUUGAGACUAGGGUUAGGUUUGUGGUUGAGGCUAGGGUUAGGUUUGUGGUGGAGGCUAGGGUUAGGGUUAGGGUUGUGGUUUAGGCUAGGGUUAGGGUUGUGGUUGUGGUUGUAGUUGUGGUUUAGGGUUCGGGUUAGGGUUGUGGUUGUGGUUGUAGUUAGGGUUGAGGGUUAGAGGGUUAGGGUUAGGGUUAGGGUUAGGGUUAGGGUGGU